rnacentral:tRNA from 1 species
UGGAAUGUAGUUAAUUAUUUGACAUUUCUUUUACAAAGAAAAAGAGCGUUUGCCGUUCUGA